rnacentral:rRNA from 1 species
CUCCUACGGGAGACAGCAGUGGGGAAUAGUUGGACAAUGGGCGCAAGCCUGAUCCAGCCAUGCCGCGUGAGUGAUGAAGGCCUUAGGGUUGUUAAAGGCUACUUUUGUGUAGGGAAGAGUAAUGACGGUACCUCAAGAAUAAGCACCGGCUAACUUCGUGCCAGCCGCCGCGGUAAUAC